GGUAUGAAGGGCUGCGAAACACAGAGCUAAGAAACCAGGAUGGACAGAGCUUUUUGUUCCAGCGAAUGGUUAUAUGUUUUUGUUGGCUCUGCUCUCUCUGUUGGCUAACAUUUAAAGGAUGCUGACUACUAUCCGAAAGGAAGAAUGAAGUGUCAGAAGUGGCUGGAAGGAGACUUCUUUGAAAGUUUCUGAAUUUGUGAGCCAGGCAGCGCUGACACUGCGAGCUGAGAGGAGCAUCAAACUCAUCCGCUGGGUUACUGGAGUGAGAGGCUUGGAGUCUGAAUCCACCGAGCUCAGGUCUGGGAAGCUGGAGCACUUCAUACGCAAGCCCGUCCCAUGAACUUGAAGACUGUGGGCGCUGGAUGGGAAUCAGUCCCAGCCCUUCACAGGCUGCAGUCCCUGCAGGAGCCCUUGCUGUGCUAAUGCAGAGGAGCCAACUGUUGUAGAUCCCACCCUGGUGGUCUGUCAUCGCACCUUGCCCCUGGGACGAGGAUCUGCGGGAGGAUGCUGGUGCCCUGAUCCUGACAAAGAGAUAACAAACACUAAAAUAAAAUGAAGUGAAAUAUUGGAGAGCCUGCUUUAUACCCCUUUUACAACCAAACACAAAAGCCAAAUGAGAUCAUACGGUUUAUUAGGCAAGAUAUUUCCAGUAAAGAUGGGGAAGUGCUCCUGCCACCGUACAAGGAACUGCUGAACCUUUGUCUGGAAAGUCACAGUCAGUUCCCAUCAUCUGUCUUUGGGAAGGAUAAGUCCCAAGCAGAACUCAGAAGAGGACUGGAACAACGGGUGAUGCUUGCAAGGGAUAACCAGGAGUGUGGGUCAUUUGGUGUAGCAGAGCUGAAGUGAGAGCACUGUUUUCUGUAGGUGCAAUGGAAGGAAGAAUAUUACAUAAAUGAAAGGAAAUUGUUGGUCGUCAGAAUGAUACAAACUGUUGUGGAAUACAUUUAUGCUGGAGGAGAGGUCUGGGCCUCUGAGCAACCUGGUUCUGCCAAACCUUGCAUUGGGACAGCAGGGCCAGGGUCCUGUUGCAUAACCCAAUACAGGAGGGAUUGCACGUGAUGUUGCGAAAACACAGUCUGGCUGCAGUGCUCAUCUCCAGUCCCAUAUGCUCCUAGAAUACCAAUAAUUUCUUCCACUAGCCUGGUAUUCCGUAGGCAACUGUCUAGCUGUGAUCUUCCAGAGAGCCACAAGCAGGCUUUAUUAUUUAGGUUUUAGCUCAGCUAUAAUACAUCAUUUAUAAAAAGCCCUGCCGUGCUAAGCUGCAUUCAGUAGCAUGGCAACAUCCAGUGUAUAUAUUUGGCUGCGCUCUGCUUUGUCUUUUGUUAGCUUUGAUGUCAGCAGGUAAGUGCUCAGAGGGGCCUGAGACCUGCCGGUGCUGGGACGCCUUGCUUAGAGGCUGUCUCAGCUUUGCAUCUUGUGCAGACCUGGUGCUGCCGCAUUCCUCACCAGCGCCCGGCACGCUGCUGUUGGUGCAUCUCCACUGGAAUAAGCAGAUGCUGCUUUGCUCCAGACUGCAGGUGUCUGUGCUCCGCUUUUCUGCAGCUUCCUUCUGUGGAAAUCUUAAUCUGCUGGGGCUCCUAUGCUCCAAACCACAGCUUGUCCCAGCCCUGCACCCCCUUCUCUUUCCAAAACGAAUUUUGAAGCUUCAGCUGCAGUGAUCUGAGUGCAGGUAACUGGGGGUGCAAACACCACAGUCACUAAGGGAGAACCCCAGCCCUGUGCCCGGUAAUGGAGCUCUCCAUGGCAUUGUGCUAGAGACUGCAGCUUAUCCAGCUGGCUAGGUAAGGGGCUGCAGGAGCCACGGCAGUGUGCUUUAUGGCCAGAAGUGACAGGGCUGUAAGUCAGCAAGGCCUCCGUUGCCUCUGAUGGAGCUGGCAAUCUGGCUUUUGUCCUGGUGGCUGCUGUAGCGCUAACCACGUGUCUGCAGCCUUGUCCAGGGUGUGCUGCGAUGCGUUCCUCUUGCAGCGGUUACAAACCAUGGCUGUGAGGACUCUUCCAGCACCUCCUCAGCCAGUGGGAACAGCGGAUGCUUAGCCCCUGAGCUCAGCACUCUGCAGGAUACGUGCAGAGACCCCAAGUUCAUCCCACUUAUUACCAAUAGCCACAGUCUGGGACUGGGGCUGCAGGAAGGGCAGGGAUCCGUAGGGCUGCUUGGUGGUACCAAGAGCUGCUGAGCGUGGUGGAGCGUGGGGGCUGCCUCAGUCAGGGGCUCCCCGCGGGACCCUCCCCACACAGGAGGCUGCAAGUGGAGUCGAGAGCAGCGCCGGGUGUCAGGUGUCUGUCUGAGCCUCCCACCAGCAAGAAGGUCUCCAUCUAAAUCAACAGGAGCUCUCUGGACUUCAAACCAUGGCGGGUGGAUAUUUUUAGAAGCCAAUCAAUCAGUGGUGACUGUUCAAGUUCAGGCAAGUCAAACACAGCUUGCAAAGUUACACAGAAGCACUGUGUGUCGUGGAAAGGUUGGUGAGCCUGCUUAUUUGACAAGCUGUGCCAAAUCCAGGAGCUACCAGAGCCGAGUUCUUUUCAGAGAGAUAUCUAUAAGAAGUAGAAGUACAAACAGGCUGUGGAUUGUAAAACACACACUUUUUUAAUUGAAGCAAUAAAUUACUGUUUGCACUUCCACAGAAGCCUUCUUUCAAGAUGCCAAGUGUGUUUCCAAACCUGAACAGCCCUAGGUUGAGGGUUUGUCAUCCUGGCCCAUUUGCAGGUGAGGAGACAGAGGCACAGAAGCGUGUAGGUGCUACUGAGGUACCCCAGAGCCGCUGAAGAGUAGUGCUGGACUGCAACAGUGCUGGACGAAGAGAACAAACACAUGUGCCCUGGCUUCCCCCGUCACAAUCUGAUUAGCUGCAGCCACGGGAGUGGGGUUAGGUCACCCCUGGAGCUCUGAAGGGCAGCAGAAGGUUGGCUUUUUGGUGGCUCUGCUACAAGGUAGUAGCAGCUGAAGCCUUUGUAGAUCUUUCUUCAAAGAGCAUGAGCUAGGGACUGGUAACAAUGAGUAAAGAGAGGCUGUAUGAAUGUAGUGUGUAGGAAAAAAAAAUCUUACCAAUGAAUCAUACUGCUUGGUGAAAAAUGUAACGGCUUGGUAGGUCUGGGGAAGCAGGCACAGCCUGGCCUCAGACUGGACCUCUGCAACCAGACACCAACGGGUCAGUGAGCAGAUCAGAAAAUGCUGGCAUUCUGAUUUUCAGACCCUCAGUUUGUCCAUCUUGAAAAUGGGCUUGAGGUUUUCCAAUGUCAUUACCAAUGGAGAAAAGAACCAGUGGUUCUGGCCCCGUCUGCUUCUCUGCUGCUUCUGGCCCUUCCCUCUGUCAUUGCAAGGCCUCUGCUCCAGAGCGCCUCGCUGCAGCCUUUGCACAGCUGCACAAAAUGUAGUGCACGAUCUGAUUCUCAAAUUGGGCUUAACUCGUACGUUCAGUGCCAGCUGGAGGGGCCUGCUGAGUUUUUGCUGAUGCAUCAGAAAUAUAUUUUUAGGAAGGUUUCUCUAUAAUUAUCACAUUAUAGCUCCUUCUGGAUCACUCAGAGUAUAGUAAACAAUUGCUAUACUUGUUAGAGGUCAUGAAUACAGAAAUGCAUUCCUCUGUGUGAGGUCUGCAGUUAAAUAAUAACUUGUCGCUUCAUGGUGUGGGGGGUGAAUGCCCUCAAAGGGACAUGCUGACAUUGUUCAAGCCAGUGAUCCAGUUCCUGUAAUUUACACCACUUUCUUAAAGCUGCUGCUGUGCACAGGAACAAUGGAUGGGCUGGGGGACAGCUGUCACCCCGCUGCAGCUCCUCUCGUUGCGUGCUGAUCCCCUCGCUCUUCUCUCUGUUGCCUGUUUUGCAGUGGGACACAGGUACCCCCACCGCCAGGGGGUCGGCCCCAGGGACGAUGGGCAGCUGCAGGAGGAAGGCGGUGAGCGUAACUUGUACAGCUUGCAGCUCCAGGCAGAAAGGGGGAGCGAGUGCAAGAGAAGGUGAUCAGAGAAAAGGAUUAUGAACGAGUAAUUUCAUGAUCAGAGGGUCUAAUGAGCAGCGUUUACCCUUGUGGCGUCUCUGCUGUCUGCUGCAGAGGGAGCAGCGCUGCUGCCUUCUCCACAGGGGAUACUAAUGGUGUCUGUGUCCUCCAUCCGUCAUCUCCAGAGCCUGUCUGGGAACUUCAGGGCUUUGAGAAAUCCUUCUCUCUGUCUCCUUGAAAUUGUCUGACGUGCUCAAGAGCCACUUUUAUACACACACUGGGCUCACACGGCACUCCAUGUAAAGCUUUGUUUCCUUAGGAAAUCUAGGCUUUACAAUAAUCACCUCGCCACUUGCCCAGGCAUAACAUGCAGUUGUGGUUUUCAUGGUACAGAAGAAAUGUGAGGAUCCAGCUGCGGCUAAAAUCAGUUAACAAAAUGGGCAAAUUAGCAAUCCCAGAGCCCUUGGAGUCUGUUCUCAAGGCCAGAGAAGGAACCAAGAAGUCAGGUGGAGCUACAGAAGCUGGGACAGAGCAGCGAGCACCGGCCCAGGCAGGUGACAGACGUCUCAUUUCUGACAUCUCACAGUCCCUCCCUAUGGCGGGGGGAUAUACCCCUUGCUAUGCGAUCAAAAGAAAAUUAAGUCUUGGCAAAAACAUGGCAACUUUAUGGAUUUAGUCUGGAAGGAGCUCAGCAGGGAUGCAUAGGAGCUGACUGCAGUAUUUCAAAGUCUUUCUAGAAGCCACAGGAUGAAAUCUUCUGUGGUGCUGCAGGCAUCAUGUCACCAGCUCCAGGUCUCCAAACUUCGCUGUAAUGCUGUCUCCACGAUAUUCACGCAGAAGAGGAUGACUGGAGGGAAGGGCAGGCUCCAUACUCAGCCCCCUUGCUUGUCUUGGGUUGUGUUGCACGCUCCAUGUUGUUUUAAUGUAGUUCCUAGUAUUUAAUGCAUUUUUAUUGCUUUCUCUAAUAACACCAAGUGAGCACUAGGAGCCAAACUAAACAAGCCAUGCCAAUAAGCCACAUGUUUCACUUCAACCAGCAAAGCGGAUGCCUCUUCCAGCCUGGCUGUGGAAGUCGAGGCCCUCACUGCUCCUCAGGGCACGGGAAGCUAUGGCUGCUGCGGUGUGGGGGAGACAGAGCCGGGGCAGCAGCCCUGCCGCGGGUGCAGAAGUGGCCGCGUGCCCCCGCGUGCCCCCUCCAGCUCCCCGCAUGCGCCAGACUUGUUGGUCUCGGGGUGGAAGUCUGAGGCAGAGAGAGGCUGGCUGUUCGCGGGCUGUGAUGUAGCAGCUCGUCUCAUGGGCUUUAUCAAGUUGGGUCUUGUUUUUGUGAGGCCAUAAGCACCUCUAAAUCCUUUACCAUCAGUGGAGGCUGGAGUUCACGUUCUGCAUCGCUGAAAGCCUUUCCAUGAAAUUAAAAAAACAACCCCAAACCUCCUCCCCUGGUGCUGAUCAGUGGUGUGGUGUUGACGUAAGUGUACUGGAGUUUCACUUACAGCAGCUGGGUAGCUGGCACUUUUAUAGGCUUUUUAGACUUUUUUUUUUAAAUUCUCUGUCUUUUGCAAAAUGUAUUUUUAUUAUUAUUAUUCUUUCUGUUUGCUUUUCCCCUACAAGACCUAGCCUUCAUGUCUGUCCUCUUAGCGCUGCUUCCUGUUGUUCUCUGUGAUCUCCCUUGUUCCAUCUUCUCUUCUCUGGUUUCCUCCCUUUCAUUUUACCCUUUUCUUUUUUUUUGCUCAGACUGGCUCAGCCCAUCCUCCCACAGGGGAAGCGUAUCUGUUUCAUUGCCCUGUCUCCAUUUCCCUCCCAGCCCCACAGCUGUUCCCGUUCCUACAGGCCCCUCUCCUGCUCAGAGCACCGUCCAUGUCCAGCCCCUUUCCUCCAUCACUGGAGGUCAACAACAGAGAAAACAGAAAACGAACCAGGAGGGAAAUAAUACAGCCAAGAAUGAUUAUUCUGCGAGAUGCCAAGUAUUGUCUCACCAGCGUUAGCCUGGACCGCUUUCAUCUGGCUGGAUGGGCUGAACCCACCAUCUCCAGCACUGACACGCUGCGUGCAAUGUUUCAUGCCACACAAUCUGUCAUUGAGGAAUUUUAGCCUUUCAUGCUGCCCAAGCCUGAAAGCUGUGAACUCCUCAGUGAGGAUGUGGUGAGGUGCGAAUGUUUGCUUUGUUUCCAAGUUCCCCUUCUCCCCCCGUGCGCUGCACUUCAGCAGCAAAGCAGCAGGCACCUGUAGCUGCAGCUCUCCGUGCGUUGGCCCAUGUAAUUACGCAUUUUCUAGUUGUGUUCAGUCAAAAGCAAUUGUGGAGCUACAAUUUCAGCUGGGACAGAAACUAAUCAAUCUAACAAGUUGGCUCGUGCGCAAUUACAGCAGAUACAUUCUGCCGCUAAUUUGUUCUGCCACCUCUUCGCCCUCCUGCAUGGAAUACGCUGUGGGGACAAAUGAACCCAGAGCGCAGCUCAUCUGUGUUACCCAUCUGCCUGUUCUGCUGGGGUGAGUGAAAGGCCCAGCUUAAAGGUGAGAAGGGGUUUUUCACUCUGGAGGGAACUGGGCUGCAUUUGGGCUGCAGUCUGCAUAUCUGCCUCAGAUACUGCAUGGCCCCUGCCUCAGGCAUCUUUUUCAGAAUUAGGGAAUGAUCAAAUCUGGAAGGAGAACAAGCACACGUGGAUCUGCCAGGAAGUAAGUGAAAACCUAAUACAGCCCAAAGCCACUUCACAUGCAGCCCACUCAGUGGCACGGAGCCCCCAGAACCGCUGUUUCACUUGCUCCCUGACUGCAGUCACAUCUCCUACCCCUUCCCCUUGCCUCUCCUUGUAACCCCAAACUGAGGCUUUGCCUUGCUCAGCAACAAAGCAAAUGUCUUCAAAAACAUCUUUGCCCUGAUACAGCGGGAGGCUGUGACUGAUAGUCACGGCUGGGGAACGAGUGCGGCAGCAGUGCUGAGCUGUCUGUGCCAUUAUUGUUCUCUGCUGCAAACUGGAAGCGACCGAGAGAAGGACAGCGCAGUCUGUAACGACCCCCCUGGGACCUGCAUGAACCCUUAGUGUUGCAGGAUAUGCACAGUAGUCAAGGCUGUCAGUUUUUUCCAUGAAGAUAAUGACAAAAUCCCUCAUCUGAAUUUGGUCUCACUAUCUGGCACUUUCACAGCGAUUACUUGCUGGCGGCUGACACUUAAACAGUGGGUUUUAAAAACCCGAGUAAGGAAAUGGGAGGGGAACACGUCAACUUCCAGGGCAAACGCAGGAUGUGUUGGAAAAAAAGAACGAUACGGUGAUUGCCUCCAGGUCAGUCCUGCUAAGUUUGACUCUCAUGGGGAUAGUUAAACAACCUCUUAAAGGGUUCUUCUUGUUAGGGUUUGUUACAGAGCAGUCAGAGGGCAUUUCCCCUGCAAGCAGUGAUCGCUCUCCCAGGGGCGCUCUCCCUGUACCUGAUGCAGACAGCAGCACUCAGGGACCUCCCAUUGUAGCAAAUGCCACAGAGGGCAACUGUGAAGUGGCCAUCAGCAUUUCCGGGGGCAGAUUCAUGGGCUAAUUGGAGGACAGCCCACCUGUGGCCAUCUCUGUGUAUGUAAAUCCUUUGUCUGGACUAACGUGAUACUUGGCGAUACAGUCCAAAGAGCUCAUGAGGCAGUCUGCGCGCCUCCUCUGCCUCUCCCAAAAGGAGUGCAGGUCUUGACCACACACACAGCUGAUACAGGACCUUGACCUUGAACUUUGUGCCUUGGACAUCAGCUUUGUGAGCCCAUAGACAGCCCUUCUGCAGCUGCGUCAGGCCACACACAGUCACAAGUCUCUGCCGGGAGGUGACAGGCACAAAGCUGGCACUGGCUCUGUGAAUACUUCUCCUCUGCAAAGUCAAACAGGCCAAAAAUAAAUGCUAGUGAAGGAAUAAACAGAAGUGAAAAGAAGGCUUGGACACCUGGAAGACAAGACUACUUUGUGCCUCCCAAAGCCAUAAGCCUGUUCACAAGGAGGUUACUCUUUCAGAAAACCCCAAGUCCUGUAACGCUGCCCAGGGUUUGAACAUGCACCAGUUUGUCAGCAGAAGACAGCUUCCAUCUGUCUCAGAUGGACGUGGCCUUAGUGCUGUGGUUGCAUCACUUGCAGACUGACUUGGGAAGUGGGCAGUGCCGCUGCCUUCUGCAGCUGAGGACGCAGGAAAAGCCAUCCUGACUGGGUGAAUUGGUAGUGUCAGCACGACGCUGGACAAGGGCGGGUACAUGAACUGGGAACACUCAGCUUCUCGGUUGGCCUCCUUCCGGCAGCAGCAAACCUCACUGGAUGGUCAGGCCACAGAGAUGCUCAAGGACACGACAGAGGCCUGAAAACAAGCCAGUGUUUCUGUAAAGCAUUAAUCACCCUGUGCGGGGCCAGGGGUGGGAACGGGGAGAGGGUGCACUCUGCCUCGGCAUGCACAUGUUUUCUAUCUAAGCUUUGUUUCAGCUGGAUCUUUCCCACUAGCUCAUCCUUCUUUAACACCUUGUACUCAUUUAUUACGAGGCUGUUUAGCAGCACAAAUCAAUUAAGUACCGCAGAAACCCACAGAGACAGACAGAGGUUCCUAUCUUUGGUUCAGUCGGGGUGGGAGGCACGCAGAGGUUAAGCCCAUGCUCCUUGCCACACAGCGAGCGAGGGUGGAGUACGAUGCAGCCCCCAGCUCACCUCCUGCCUUUCAGCCUCCCCCAGCACCCUCCGUGCCACACCGAGCCCCACUCAGGUACUGCUGAAGCAAGAGGGCCUCAGGGCUCAGCCCCAUGUUUGCAGCCCCAUGUUUGCUGCAGCCCCUUGCUGGGCUGUGGGAGCUGUGCCCACGGACACAGGGCUCCCAGCAGAGAGCCAGAAGGCUUUGCUGUCCCAGUCCUGCUGCAGCUUCUUCAGCCCCCCAGGAUAAGCCCUGUGUGGGACACAGCUGGGGGCACAUCACAGCCCUGAGACGUGGCAACUGUACGAGGGCCCUGCCCUCAAACAAGCAGGUGGCCAGAGGUACAGCCUUGCUUCCGUGCACCCGUGGCCAGCUUUACCAUGCUGAGGGCUGCUGGGGCCUCACAAGUGAGGUGUGUUCCUCCGAGGCCUGGCUGAGCCAGUCCUGAGGUGCCCAGCUCUGCUGUAAUGGGAUAUGGUAGGGUCCGGGCCUCUGUUGUCACCUCUGCAUCCUGCAGGAUUCUUCAUCAGGAUGUUGCCUGGGUCCUGCUAAGGAAAGCCACUGUUCAAUGGUGCAGCUAGUACCUGGGCAGGGGAUUGUGCAGGGCUUUAGGACAUAGCACAGUCACAGAAGGUGAACAAGCAGUCAGAAAAAAAAAAAAAAGAAAAAAAAGUGACUUUAAAAUAAUUGUUUAGGUCUUGUUCCAACUGCAGCUUAGUGUGCAGGACUCAGCACCCACUGUAAUGUCUUCAGGCUGUGCUCCCAAUGCCUGCUCUGGUUCAGGUUGGUUUAGAGUUACUUGUAUGUACCACACACUUCAGAAAUAGGAGCUAAUGAUUCAAGCCACGUGACAUAGAUGAUCCACAACAUAAAGGAAAAUAAGAACUAACCAACCAAUUCUUGCUCAUGCCUUUAAAACGUGCUCAGCCAAACUGUACUUCGUGAAUAUCUCUAAGGAGGGCCAGAUUCUGUAGGACAUGUCCUCAGCUCACAGAAAGCGACCAUUAAUCAUUAGUGUGUCUUGGUCCCCAGCUAUUUUAAUCACUGUUGAACUACUCAUGCAGUUCCCACUCCUAAAAAUGGUAUUUGACUCCAAUGCACAUGAUUUCCUUUGGCUUCCUUUCCCCAAUUAAGAGCAAGCCUUAACUACUUGGAAGUGCAAGCACUGGAAUCCAUGGAUUUGCUUCUCAUCUGUCAUGGAGCAAAAGCGUGGUACUACAAGUAGCAUCUGUGCUGCCAGACAUAAACAUCAGCAUAUAUUGGAACCGGCCGGCACAGUAUGAAACCGUAACAGCUCUUGUUCCUACAGGCUGAUGGCCAAACCAUGUCCUGUGUAUUGGAGCACUGGAAGUGUCUUUGGUCCCUGCUAUAUUGUUAGUCCAUUUCUGUUCCACUUUAUUAAGUAAUGAUUAAAAGUGCUUCUUGUAUAUGUGGGCAAUAAUUAUGGCACGUCAGUUUGUUGUGGGAGAAGUGGAUGAACAUGGAGUACAUUUGUAAACUGCAGGCUGUAGAAACCAAUAAAUCUUUCUUAAAUUUUUCCCUUUAAAAGUGCUCAGCCAAAGCCACAGGAAGUUUAAGGGAAAAACAAAUUGCUCAUCCAUAGAUUCAGGAUCACAGUGAAGCUUUGUAAUGCUCAGCUUCUCUCAUGAGGCCGAUGAGCAGCCUGAGCAGUCUGGGGGUGUGCAGAGAAAACUUCAUUGCCUUCCCUUAAUUGCAGACUAAUAAAUGCAUUGUGUCCAUCUCCAUGGGUUUACCUAAUUUAUAAACUGGAUUGCCACAGUUCUGAAUUUCUCUGCUUUCACUCCUCGUAUGUGAACAUGCUCCUGUUGGGCUUGGAGAAAGAACCGUCUGAUUGUGCAUACAGAGCGCAGGGGAGGUUUAUAGGAGGAUCAACUUAAAUAACAGGUAAAGUUUUGCAGGUGCACUGCUCAUGAAGGAUCCCUCCAGUGUUUGUCGCACCACAUUAAGUCAGGGGUACAAUGACAAACAGUGGGAGGACUGUCAGUGAUUAUAAUAUGGGAUUUAACACAUAACUACUGACAGCGUUAUUUACCUGGAAAACCAUUAAUUGUUUUUUUUAUAUCCUUACCAGCCAGGAAAGAGCACGUACAUUAAAAAAAAAAAAAAAAAAAAAAAAAAAAAAAAAAAAGCUGCAUAUAAUGUAGCAUCAGCCUCAGUAAUGAGGAAUUUCUGCAUGGUUUUCUGGCUCAGAAGACAAAAUCCUGCUACAAUGCCACAGGAAAGUUUUCAAACUUGAUGUUGCAGAGAAAGGCAUGUACACAAGUCAUACUAUCUGAAAUCAGCUGAUGAGCUUGCGUGCCUAAUGUGGAACUCAGGAAUUCUAUUCAUUUUCCAGGGUUUUGUUUUGUUUUGUUUUAUUUCUCUUUAAAAAGCACCAAAUAGCAACCAAAUUUCAGCUAAUACCAGCCGGGCACCAGAACAAAGUCCAUCCUUGAGAAGGCUGGCCUGGCUGGCUCACCAGAGAAAUCGCUCGUUCCUUCCCACCAAUUCCUGCAAAUGUUCCCUUACAUAAACUUGGCCAAUUCUGAUCCAAUUAAAAAGACAAAACCCAACAAUAAUCUGCUAAAGCUAAAGGUUCCUUGAGAGCUUAGAUUUCUUCAGGCUUGCUGAAAAUUAAAUGUUUAAACAUUGUGAAGAAAGUUUGCCAUAAUAACCAUAUUUCCUCCAUGAAGCAGCUAUUCAUCAAGAACUACAGCAAAGCACUAAAGGGUUCCAGUGAAAGAAGGCAACAAAUUUGCCUGCAAAAUGUUAUUUCCUGCACUGGACUAAUUCAGAUCAUGUGGCUCACAUACAAUUUCUGUUUAAUUGAAUGUACCACAUUAAAUUAUUCCAGACAGGAUUUGUGCACUGAAAGCAGUUGAUAAUAUUACAGGGCAGUUCAGAAAGCGUCCCCUGCAGAGAGUCCUUGCAGCCUGGAACAGCAGUGUUUGAAAGACUCUAACAGAAUUGCUCGUACUUGAAGAGCAAUUCAUUUCUUUUUUUUUUUUUUUUUCCCCAGUGGGAAUCUCACUCUGCAACCUUUGCUCCUUUGGGUCUAUUCUUGGUGGGCAGUUACUACUGUUGUCAGUGUGUGCUUUCCAAGGAUGUGCAAAUUAACAUGACUGGUGGCUCAAGCUUAGCAGCUCCUCUGUUACCCAUGCAGAAUUAUCUGCAUGCAAGUACCACGAUGCUUUAUUGCAGUGGCUUCUAUCCUAAUGUUCAUACUACCUAGCAUAUGCUAGGGAUGGCAGCUCCAAGAAGGCUGGGGCAAUGCUUGAGCACAGUAGAAACUGAUGGCAACACGUGAAAUUGACCCUGAAAACAACAUGAUUGCCUCACAUACUUUUCAAAACAUAUUUAUUGUCAGUAUUUAUGCAUUUUUCCAAGCCAGAUCAGAGGUGCUAAAUGACACUGAACUUUCAGAAAGAACAGCCAAAUUUGUCCUUGAAAUCUUAGUGUCUUAGCCUGGGCAUUAAGAAAGGGUCUCACAGGGCUGCUGAGAGUUCCCUAUGGUGUAACAGGGGGGUCAGCCAGGCUGGAUCCCACCCCAGAUACGUGGGAGAGAUGUGGGAUCUCUCCUGCCUAUCAGUUCCUAGCCAAGUGUCCCUAUGGAGCUCUGCUGUGCCUGCUGUCCACUCUGAAAGACAACUGGAAGAGAUGUGCAAUAGAGCUGUUUUGAGAACAGAUAGUAUAAAAGUUAACACCAAACCUUCUUGUUCUCCUAUUCACCAUAUGCAGUCACAUACGUGAAGGGUUUCUUCCACGUGGCUGUGCAAGAAGCAUUAAGUGGGAAAUUCUGGGUUGCCAUAAGGUACAAGACAAGGUUAUAAAACAUUGGAACAGUUUAUCAGACAUUUAUAUAAGCAGAGUUCCCAUAGCACAUAAGAAAAAGAUCCAUUCAUCAGGGCUCUGGUUUCAGGAUGAAUUGCAGGGAUUGCUCUGUGCGCAUCCUCUGAGGUUCAGACUGGUCCUUCUGACUUUAAAAUCCACGAGCUGAUUCUCUUCAAAAGGGCUGAGCUGAGAUAGGGAGAAGCUGAGCAGGCUCAUUCCAGUAUUUCAGAGUAGAAAUGUUUAUUUUAACAUAAAUAUUCUUAUUUUGAGUAAGAUGCAGAUAAUAAAUAUAAAAAUUGUAACAUAGAAUCAUAUCAAAAAAGUUACAAAACCCCAUUCCAGAUCUUCCUGCUUUCAGUACAAAGAGUAGGUUGUUGUUCUCCAACCUGUUAGCAGUUGAGGUGAUUCUACUUAGUUGGUUUGGUAGAUACCAGAUUGAAAACAGAUCAAUUCCAUCCACACAUCUUGCCAAUUACUUCCAUCUCCUUUCAGUAUCAGGUGAAGACACUGGAGUUGCUAAGAGAGGAAAUUCCCAUGGAAAGGAGCAGGGGGUCUGGGGCUUCCUAUGAUGGGCCAGUCUCAGCAAUCACAGGUGUCAAAGCAGAAAGUCCUGAAACAAACCAUUCCAAAAGUGCCACAUUCCUGGAAUCAGCCUGCAAGGAAGGACACCCCCGGGACAGUCCUGCGUGGCCUUGAGCAGCACAAAUUUUGUUGUUUGCAGCCAGUCAAACAGCGCCCAUCCUCAUCUGAUAGCAGGGUGCUUUUCCUGUGCCCGUUAUCUUUUAUCUAGUCGCACAGUCACUGGGACAAGUAUUCUCUUUUGGGGCUUGCUUACAAGGAGGAGUUGACUGUUCUGCAGUAGUCACUGCAGGAUGACUUCAUGUGAACACACUCAUUCCACAGCGGCUGUUAGUUUCUGAUUCAUACCAUACCUUAACUGGAGCAGCGUCAGUAUGUCAGUGUGCCUUACAAAGUUAAGCAAGACCUGGGACUCAGUUUGGGGUUUCUAGUCACUUCUCCUUUACAAAGAAUUCAGCUUUAAGAAAAGCAGUUGGAAUGUUCCUGAGAAUAACAAAUAACAAAUGAGUAAUUCUUGCUCCAGAGCCACAAAACCCAAUUAAAGAUAGGUAAGUGAUGUGUAAAGGCAAGUUGGUGCAGUCAGCAUAGAAAAAAAAUGCAUGCAGUUCUAAUCUAUUGGCACAGGCAUAUAAAGCAGAAUUAAUUGAUAAACAUAUCAAUUAAUUGAUAAACAAAGCCUUUUCAAAAAAGGUAACGACUAAUCCAACCAGACACUGGGAAAGGGACUUGCUGUGGUGGAGCCAGACUAAUUUGACUAUCCAUACCCCUAGGUGGAGUUAUUAAAGGAUAAAAGCUUUGAACAUUGUUGCAGAGUUCAAUGAAAAUAAAAAACUUUUACUCAACAUAGAGAAGCUCUCAGAAAUGCAAACGAGGUGUUAGAAUGCAUAAAGAUGUUGAAUAAUUGAAUAUUAUAGAGUUUUGUUUAACAAAUUGCUUCUCCACAUGCAAUUACUGCAUCCACGUCUGAUCUGAAAAAUUAGAGUAGGAAUAAAGCUGGGGAAGAGGUGAUAAGAACGAGCAGAGAUCUGCAACGACUUGGAGCAGUUCAGCUGAAAGAGGAGUAAAACAGGGAGUCAGGAUGGAGAGGGCAGUCUGCAAUAUGAAGAAUGGCAUUAAGGCUAAAUCCACCAAUUCUUUCACAAACAUGAAAAGAAUAAAUACUGAAAAAAAAAAAAAAAAAGAGAGAGAUAAAAUAAGCUAGCACACAUCACUGUCCUGGAAUCUGGAGAAAACAACUUUUUUAAGCACUUAUGACAGAAAUCAGUCAUGGGAGUACAGUCCUGUGAGGUUACAGGAAGGGGCAGGAGCACUGGCAGGACAGAGUCCGUCCAUCCACAAGCAAGCAGCUGUGCAGAAAUGGGUACAGUGACAUGGGCAGGCUGCUUGGUGGGCAUUAAUUAGCUCAUCCCCACAGUGGGCAUUAAUUAGCCCAUCCCCAAAGCCAGCAGUGGAGCGGUCGGUGCUGCCUGCUGCCCAAGCACGGCGGUGAUGCUGCAGCCAGGUUCCUGUGGCUGGCUGGCCUGGAGCCAGGGGAAUCACUCGCCCCACGAAGCGAAGGUGGAUCUCUGGGCGCACCCUGCCCCUGCUCACAGCCAACACCUCUCCCUCUGGAGCGGCUCUGGCAGGGGCUGUGUCUCGGGUUGGGAAUAUCUCCAGUUGUAUUUCACUCUCAGAUGGGGAAAACAAAAGAUAGACACAACAGGGAGGGAAAGCACUGAAGUUUGUUUCGUUUAACCCACUCUGCCUGUCAGGUCUCACACCGUGAGCCUCAUGCAGAAACGCACCCUCCACACCACAGCCCAUGACAGCAAGGCUGCUCCGAUGCCCUCCACCACAAACUUUCCCCAGCCUGUAACACUUCCCUGACUUGCACGCAUGCCUUCCCUCCCGAGGGCACGCCUGCCCUCCUGCCUGCCCUGCCCCAGGCGCUCGUGCUUACCUUCCAGGCCUCCCCGUGCCAGAGGUCACAGUUGACCAUUGCAAGAACAAUAAGGAUUUUUAGGGGCAUUAUGACUGGGUUAGUAAAACACAGCUGCCCCUGAAAGUCCCUCAUUUUUCUUGCUGCCGCUCAGUCCCCUCCAGGUCCCUAGGAGGGCAGAGGUCUGAUGGGCUCCUCUCUCCAGCACGGCGGUGCCGUCUCUGCCGGCCAGCCCCGCAGCCGCCCCGAACACAGUGACCAGCCGUGACACAGACAGGAAGGUGUGGAACUGCUUUGUCAUCGCUGCGGGCUCCCUCCUGAGCAAACGCCGUGCUGCACUUCAGCGUAACGCCAGAUGGCUCGUCUGUCACUCGGCAGAAAUGCCAUCAAACAAAGCCUGGCGUAGCUCACCACAAGCAACCCUCAAGAGCCCCAAACCGCUGGGGCAAAAGGAAGCAAUGCCUCGCCUGCAGGCACACGUGUCGCAGGCAAUCAGCACCCUGGCACUGCGUCCAGGACACGCGGGGACCCCAGACCUGACCAGCACCCAGCAUUUGUGCACCAGCACCCCAGGGUGCCAGGCUGCCCAACCGCAGUGAGAGCAGGUCACACCUGCUUCCCCAAUUGCAGGAGCAGUUACUCUUGAUUUAUUAAUAAAGCUGGGAUUUUAAUUA